rnacentral:rRNA from 1 species
GUCGAACGGAAACGAUGGGAGCUUGCUCCCAGGCGUCGAGUGUCGGACGGGUGAGUAAUACUUAGGAAUCUGCCCAUUAGUGGGGGACAACUCGGGGAAACUCGAGCUAAUACCGCAUACGCCCUACGGGGGAAAGCGGGGGAUCUUCGGACCUCGCGCUAAUGGAUGAGCCUAAGUCGGAUUAGCUAGUUGGUGAGGUAAAAGCUCACCAAGGCGACGAUCCGUAGCUGGUCUGAGAGGACGAUCAGCCACACUGGGACUGAGACACGGCCCAGACUCCUACGGGAGGCAGCAGUGGGGAAUAUUGGACAAUGGGGGCAACCCUGAUCCAGCAAUGCCGCGUGUGUGAAGAAGGCCUGCGGGUUGUAAAGCACUUUCAGUAGAGAAGAAAAGCUUAGGCUUAAUACGCCUGAGUCUUGACGUAACCUACAGAAGAAGCUCCGGCUAACUCCGUGCCAGCAGCCGCGGUAAUACGGAGGGAGCGAGCGUUAAUCGGAAUUACUGGGCGUAAAGCGCGCGUAGGCGGCUUUGUAAGUCGGAUGUGAAAGCCCUGGGCUUAACCUGGGAAUGGCAUUCGAUACUGCAGAGCUAGAGUAUG